GGUAAAACUAACCCGAGAGAGCGUCCAGACAGGUAAAACUAACCCGAGAGAGCGUUCAGAUGGGUAAAACUAACCCGAGAGAGCGUAAAACUAACCCGAGAGAGCGUUCAGACAGGUAAAACGAACCCGAGAGAGCGUCCAGACAGGUAAAACUAACCCGAGAGCGUUCAGACAGGUAAAACUAACCCGAGAGAGCGUCCAGACGGGUAAAAAUAACCCGAGAAAAUACAAAGACAGGUAAAACUAACCCGAGAGAGCGUCAAGACAGGUAAAACUAACCCGAGAAAAUACAA